AGAGUUUGAUCAUGGCUCAGGGCUAACGCUGGCGGCGUGUCUUAGCCAUGCAAGUCGAGCGGGCCUAUGGGGCAACCCAUGGGUCAGCGGCGGACGGCGGAGUAACACGUAGCUAACCUACCCCUUGGACGGGGAUAACUCACCGAAAGGUGGGCUAAUACCCGAUGAAGCCCUUAUCUGAGAUGGUGAGGGUUAAAGGUGGGCCUCUGCGGAAGCAAGCUCAUGCCAGGGGAGGGGGCUGCGGCCUAUCAGGUAGUUGGUGGGGUAAGAGCCCACCAAGCCUAUGACGGGUAGCCGGCCUGAGAGGGUGACCGGUCCGAGGGGCACUGAGAUACGGGCCCCACUCCUACGGGAGGCAGCAGGCUAGAAAAUUGGGCAAUGGGGGAAACCCUGACCCAGCGACGCCGCGUGCAGGAAGAAGCCCUUCGGGGUGUAAACUGCUGUCGUGCGGGGCGAAGGGCUCAUAGGUGAAUAAUCUAUGGGCUUGACGGUACCGCAGGAGGAAGCCCAGGCUAACCUCGUGCCAGCAGCCGCGGUAAUACGGGGUGGGCAAGCGUUGCCCGGAAUUACUGGGUUUAAAGGGGGUGUAGGCGGCCGGGAGAGUCAGGUGUGUAAUCCAACCGCUCAACGGUUGGGCUGCAUCUGAUACUUCCUGGCUAGAGGGCGUUAGAGGAGAGCGGAACUCCCGGUGUAGCGGUGAAAUGCGUAGAUAUCGGGAGGAACGCCGGUGGCGAAGGCGGCUCUCUGGGGCGUUCCUGACGCUGAGGCCCGAAAGCUGGGGGAGCGAAAGGGAUUAGAUACCCCUGUAGUCUCAGCCGUAAACGAUGGGCACUAGACGUUCCCCUGUAGGGGGGAGUGUCGAAGGGAAACUGAUAAGUGCUCCAUCUGGGGAGUACGUCCGCAAGGGUGAAACUCAAAGGAAUUGACGGGGGCUCGCACAAGCCGUGGAGCGCGUGGGUUUAAUU
rnacentral:rRNA from 1 species